CUCAGAUUGAACGCUGGCGGCAUGCCUUACACAUGCAAGUCGAACGGCAGCGGGGGGCUUCGGCCUGCCGGCGAGUGGCGAACGGGUGAGUAAUGCAUCGGAACGUGCCCAUGUCGUGGGGGAUAACGUAGCGAAAGCUACGCUAAUACCGCAUACGUCCUGAGGGAGAAAGCGGGGGAUCUUCGGACCUCGCGCGAUUGGAGCGGCCGAUGUCGGAUUAGCUAGUAGGUGGGGUAAAGGCCCACCUAGGCGACGAUCCGUAGCGGGUCUGAGAGGAUGAUCCGCCACACUGGGACUGAGACACGGCCCAGACUCCUACGGGAGGCAGCAGUGGGGAAUUUUGGACAAUGGGCGCAAGCCUGAUCCAGCCAUGCCGCGUGAGUGAAGAAGGCCUUCGGGUUGUAAAGCUCUUUCGGCCGGGAAGAAAUCGUGGUCUCUAACAUAGGCCAUGGAUGACGGUACCGGACUAAGAAGCACCGGCUAACUACGUG
rnacentral:rRNA from 1 species